ACUCAUCAUCACUCUUUUUCAAAACAGCGCGGUAAACAAGAUGACGUCGCAGCUCAUCUCUUCUCCUGCUUUUCCUCCGUUGUUACAAAGGACACGAUUCAAUGAAUCAUUCAAUCGAUGUACUUGUAUUUCUGAGACAGUAAACAACGCUAUAUUAGGGAGGUCAGAGAUGAUUAUCCUUGAGGGUCGUGUGAUUUGUGAGGCCGUAUACCCAAGAUUUCGGACUGCAAGAUUUCUACUAUUCGCAAUGUACUACGUCUUAAAUCUUCAGUAUCCAGAGGCAUGUGGCACAUUGGAUUUUAUUUAGAGACAAUUUGUCGGAUAAACCCUGAAAAAGGCUCGAAGACCAGCAAAGUCAAGGUCGUUAAGAAGACUGGAAAGAAUGUGAAUAAGAAGACUGCUACUGUCAACCCAGAAGUUGCAUCCCUCCUAAAAAACCUCAUCCGUUUGGAAUGGGAUUUUGUCUAGGUAACUAAACUUAAU